UCUCCCUUGAUCUCUAGUCUUCUCCCGCCCGUAACAAAAUCUUCCCAAAAUUUCAACCUUGAGAAACCCUAAAGCAAUCCCUCACUCCAUAUUCCAUAAGCGGUGGCGGCGCCUUCCCCUCCGAGACUCCGAAUCUCCACCUAGCUCUGCAUCUCUGCUUCCAUAUUUUCUUGCGCCGCCCCUUUUCAGAUCUAUUUGGUGUCAAUCAUCCUUCUCAGUUCUCACCAUACCAAUCCAUCUGGUUGCCCCUCAUCGGAUUGGAAUUUGGAUCUUGUGUCAAUAGUGCAGGGGAGGGAUUAGUGGAUCCUCGAUGGACAGCCGACGAAUCCACAUGAACAUCCUCUGCACCUGCCCCUUCCACACGGAGAUCAUCUUCAGGCAUGGAAGGUACAUACACAUCGGAGGAUUCAGAAGUACAAACAUGUGCUACCUGCUAAUAACUUCGGUUCCUUAAUUACUAUUGAUUUCAUUGGAAGUCUUUCCCAUCCCACAUGUGUUUCCAAGGAUCUUCUAAGGCCAUGAGGCCUAUGGGUAAGUUCCUCAGGUUCUGCUGCCGAUGAGUACGUGAAGGCAGCCGGGUACAACGAUGAAGGUAAGAGAUUUAACGAACACACAUACUCUUCAAUUUGGGCUGUGGUGCGUGCAGGGUGGUGAAGAGCUUGCCGGAGUAUACAGAGGGGUUCGUGGUUGGGGGACACACUAGCGCCCAAGUCCGUCGGUAGUGCGACUCGUGCAGCAGUAGAGCGUUGGAGUGGAACAAUGCCUGCUCUGUGCUGCCAUUGCUCGUCGGCCCCAGGAUGCUCCGCGACCGCACUACCCAGUUCAGGGACAGCCAAGGGGCGCUGCUCCUCGUCGUGUUACAAAAAAAUUGAUUUGUUCCAGACUUCCAGGUCAAUGUUAUUGGCACUGAACCUAGCUAACUACUAGUACUUAGCAGGCUAGUUUUGCUAUGAGGUAAUUCGUAAUUGUUAGCUCGAUAUUGCAUCAACGAUUCUUCCAUGGUUCAAAGGAAAUCGGAUUAUUAAUAGCUCAAUAUUGCAAAUUCUUUUUUUAUCCUUAUUUGUACAAGAGAACACUUCUGGGGGUACCCUAACUUUUUUAUCCGUGGACAACAUAAUGAUAGCUAAGCUGCACUCUUGUAAAAGUAUAAGAUGGUAAGAUUUUUAGCGUAUGAACAUGUAAUAUAUUUUGCUCUAGCUUUUGAAAUUCUUCCUUUUUUUGACUUUCUCGUAUGAUAAUAUACUGCAACUUAAACUUAUGAUAUUUAGUGACAGACUAACAUAAUGUGCGCACACAUUUCCCAUACAGUUUCACAAAAUAUUUUGACCCUACUAUUUCUUUUUUGUAUAUCUUCCUGUUACUACUGCUAAAUGUACAAUUUAUACAUCCAUCAUCCUUUCUUGUCUAUUGUUUCCGAAUAUAUAGUGUAUCUAAAUUUUUUAAUGCCAAUUAUUUUUCUCCUUAAUGGUUUUUGUGUUUGCAACUCAGCAAAAAAUAUAGCUGUAUAUUUUAAUAGGUUAUAAAUGUGUGUAAUGAUCAAUCUAUCUUCUUGGUUUAUGUUAGUUUUUCUUUUUGCAGUAAUAACACAAUGCACAUAGUAUUCCGUCAUCCAUUCAAUAUACAAGGUGGAAAAAUGAUGAUGGUUUAGAACAUGCCGCUCAAUAGAUGUAGCGGGAUUAUUUAUGCAUGGCCUUCACCUUUAUAAACUGAUAUGCAGGGCUCAGAUGCUGAUUGCAAGGUCGAGAAUGAAGCUGCUACUAGAUAGUUCCACAUAAUGUUUUAGAUGUUUUUUGCCAGAUCAAUGCUUCAAACAGUAUAUAUUAAAUAGAAUAAGUAAGAUGUUGAUUGCAAGGUCAAGAACUGGCUGCUGCUACUAGAUAGCUCCACAUCUUGUAAUCUUUGGCUCAUGUUCUUUGUAAUGCAACAAUCAA